rnacentral:rRNA from 1 species
GCACCGGCUAACUCCGUGCCAGCAGCCGCGGUAUACGGAGGGUGCGAGCGUUAAUCGGAAUUACUGGGCGUAAAGCGCAUGCAGGCGGCCUGUUAAGUCAGAUGUGAAAGACCCGGGGCGUUAACCUCGGAAUUGCAUUUGUAAACUAGGCAGGCUAGAGUCUUGUAGAGGGGGGUAGGAAUUUCUAGGUGUAGCGGUGAAAUAGCGUAGAGAUCUGAAGGAAUACCAGUGGCGAAGGCGGCCCCCUCGGACAAAGACUGACGCUCGGAUGCGAAAGCGUGGGGAGCAAACAGGAUUAGAUACCCUGGUAG